AAUAUUGGAAAUUGUGUAUAAGCGUAAUCCAGCCAGGCCGCUUGAGGGAAGAAGGUCUAAGGUUUAUAAAGUACUUUAAGUAGGGAGAAAUGGCCGCAAGUAAAAACCUUCCUGUAUUGACGAUACCGACAGAAUAGGCACCGGCGAACUCCGAGACACCAGCCGUGGUAAUAUGAAGGGUCCAAGCGUAAAUCGGAAUUACUGGGCGUAAAGCGCGUGUAGGUGGUUUGUUAAGUUGGAAGUGAAGGCCCCGGGCUCAACCUGGGAACUGCUUUCAAAACUGGCAAGCUAGAGUAUGGCAGAGGGUGGUGGAAUUUCCUGUGUAGCGGUGAAAUGCGUAGAUAUAGGAAGGACCACCAGUGGCGAAGGCGACCACCUGGGCUAAUACUGACACUGAGGUGCGAAAGCGUGGGGAGCAAACAGG
rnacentral:rRNA from 1 species